UCGGUUCGGUUUGUCUUUUGGGGUUCUUCUCGCCUUCGAAAGCGCCGUCCUUCUUCAGUGUUUUCACAUUUUCACGUACAGUUCAAUCGUGAGGUUCAGCCUAGUGAGUUCUGUGUAGUUAAGUCGGAAUAUUUCGUAUAGUUCUCGUCGACUGUCGUCUGACAUUUGUUCUUCUAUUCCGAAACGCUGCAUUGAAAUACAAAAAUAAUACAAACUAGAAUAUUCAACAAAACAAAAAACCAAGGAAACGAAAAACCAAUUAAAAUUUUAACAAAAUAAUAACUCGCUUCAAAAUAUAUUGCAAAUAUAUCAACAAAUUUAAUCAAAUCAAAUUCACCAACAAAUCGAAAACAAACUCUAUUAAUUCGUUUACUCAAAAAUCCAAAAACACAAAACAACCAAAAACCGAUUCAAAUAUAUAACUGUUAAAUCUAAACGAGCAGGCGAUCUACUGGGAAGCGAGAGAGGAAGGGCAUCAGCAGCAGCACUACUACACGCGUGUGUGUUUAAAUACUGGAAAAUACAGAUAAGAUAAAUUAUUAUAGACACUCACGAGUACAUUUAGAGCAGACCAAACCCAGAGACAGACAACCGCAGAGAAUCAAAAGCACUCCAAGAGCAAAUCAAUAAAACAAAAACAAAACCCAAACAACAACAAAAAAAACAACAACAGAAACAACAGAAACAAAGAGAAAAAGCAACUCAAAAAACAAAAUUUUAAAAAAAGUGUUACCAAAAAAAACUUAAAAAAAAAAGAAAAUUAUUUAAAAGACAAAACCCGUACUCGUAACGGUGCAGACAACUGAAAAUACCCAGUGAAAAUUCAGAAAAGCGUUGACCAUUUUUUCUCGCAAAGGCGCCACGUCCAAGAGCAAAUCGUUCCAUAUGGUUCAUAUUAUUGAAUUGGUCGGCCAGCCGAAGGUUGAGUUUGCUCAACAAGUUACUAUGAACCGUGCUUUACAGCUGAAGCCAGCUGAAAAUGAAAGUCGCAGCGCAAACUUCGUGACAAGCUGGAAAAUGGCAGCAUUCAACUAAACACAACAGCCGAUACGAUACCGCUUUCCGAGAAGAUGGUCGAUGACAGGGCUAGGAGAGUCGACCCAGCAGUAACUAAUAAAUUAACCAAGUGAUUGAAUAGAGUCAAGAGGAGAGAGAUCAGUGAGGAGUUGAGUCCAUAAGUUGAGCUCUAAAAGCAUCAAAGUUUUUACUGAUAUCAACGUAGUGCAAACCGUAGGCAAACGAUCAUUACCAAACCUACCUGUAGUUCAAAAAGACAGAGCUUUGACCUCUCAAAUCCUUCAGUUUAAGCCGGCAAAGUGCGGACCUCUAGCACGACAGCAGGGCUAAAAAAGCUAAACGCAUUUAAUAUUUAAAAAUAGAGACACAAAACACUACAAAGGGUAGAGGUUCAAGAGCAAAAACCAGACUAAAGCCAGACCCAACAAAAAAGCAUCUAGAUCGCAAGCUCUUCGUUGGCAUGCUCAGCAAACAACAGACCGAAGACGAUGUUAGACAAAUCUUCCACCCGUUCGGCUCUAUAGAGGAGUGCACCAUAUUGCGGGGCCCGGACGGUACGAGCAAAGGCUGCGCAUUCGUCAAAUUCGGAACGCAACAGGAGGCUCAGUCAGCAAUAGCCAAUCUACACGGAAGUCAAACUAUGCCGGGUGCAUCCUCCAGCCUGGUCGUCAAAUACGCCGACACAGAGAAGGAACGACAAAUCAGGCGCAUGCAACAAAUGGCCGGUCAUAUGAACCUGCUGAAUCCGUUUGUCUUUAAUCAGUUCAGCCCGUACGGCGCCUACGCUCAGCAACAGCAGCAAGCCGCUCUGAUGGCUGCCGCUGCCACCGCGCCUGGCUCGGCAGCCGCCUACAUGAACCCCAUGGCCGCCCUGGCAACGCAAAUACCUCAUGGCUUGAACGGCACCGGACAGCCGCCCUCUUUGCCCUCGCCGACCAUGCCCAACUUCAGCAUGGGCGCCAACACGCCCAACGGCCAGCCCGGUGGAGCUGCCGCGGCUGCAGCAGCUGCUGCGGCGGACGGGGUCUUCACGAACGGCAUUCCACAAACGGCAUUCCCAGGACAUCCGCUGCAUUUGACUAUACCACCACAAGGUCUGCCAAACGGCGAUGCUGCUACUCUGCAACAUGCCUUCCCUGGGCUGCCACCGUUUCCAGGAGUUGAUUUUCUGAUGUUCCCAGGAUGCUCGAUAUCCGGUCCAGAGGGCUGCAAUCUCUUCAUCUACCAUUUGCCCCAAGAGUUUGGCGAUGCGGAGUUAAUGCAAAUGUUCCUGCCCUUUGGCAAUGUGAUCAGCUCCAAGGUCUUCAUCGAUCGUGCUACAAACCAGAGCAAAUGCUUCGGUUUCGUGUCCUUCGAUAAUCCAGCCAGCGCUCAAGCGGCCAUUCAGGCCAUGAAUGGCUUCCAGAUUGGCAUGAAAAGACUGAAAGUUCAAUUGAAGCGGCCAAAGGAUGCCAGUCGACCCUAUUAACAAUCGGAGUUCCUUAAGUGUAAUUCGCAACAACUACAACUACUUCCUGGAGCACCAACAACAGGAGUAGUCGCAGGAGCAGCCAUGCCACAAACUACAACACAAUUUGCAACAGCAGCAGCAGCAGCAGCAACAGCAUCCACAGCAACAGCAACAGCCACAGCAACAACCACAGUGCACCACUAUAGUCACAGAAGCAGCUUUAGGCCACCAUUUCCCAAUGACAACUCCACUCAUAUGCCGGUAUCAAUUCGCCAGCUGGCGCGAAAUGGUGACCUACUGCUAUCGCUAUAUAGUACCCCGCCAGAAACACUUCCUCCCCAGCCCCAAAAAGCAACCAACAACAGCAACAUCAGCAAGGACAACAACAACAGCACCAACCAACAACAACAGCACCAACAAACACCCACCAGCAGCACCACACCAAACAACAAUAGCAAGCACUGCAGGCAGCAGAAUGGACCGAUUCCCAUCCACAUCCAACUCAACCGGACAUGGCAUCCAAUAGCAACCAGAAGGAACUAUCCAAAGUGGAAUAAGUCGAAAAACUGUUCAAGUGGCAGCAACAAAAGCGAAAGACCUAAAGCCACCAGGACCCCACAAACAGCAACCAUGACAACUGCGACAACAAUAACGAGCGACUACUGAAAGGAUGGUCUUCACCAUGCUAAGUGAAAUGAUUAUAAAAAUUAAACACAUGCAAAAUCGGUGUGUAAAAAAACCUAAAAUAAUAGUAAACAACCAAA
rnacentral:misc_RNA from 1 species